rnacentral:misc_RNA from 1 species
UCCGGUUUGUCACCGGCAGUCCCAUUAGAGUGCCCAACUGAAUGUAGCAACUAAUGGCAAGGGUUGCGCUCGUUGCGGGACUUAACCCAACAUCUCACGACACGAGCUGGCGACAGCCAUGCAGCACCUGUGUCCAGGUUCCCUUUCGGGCACACCCCCAUCUCUGGAGAUAGCACGGCAUGUCAAGGGUAGGUAAGGUUUUUCGCGUUGCAUCGAAUUAAUCCACAUAAUCCACCGCUUGUGCGGGUCCCCGUCAAUUCCUUUGAGUUUUAGCCUUGCGGCCGUACUCCCCAGGCGGGGCGCUUAAUGCGUUAGCUGCGGCACAGGAAACCGGAGAGGCCCCCCACACCUAGCGCCCAACGUUUACAGCGUGGACUAC